GCCAGCAGAUUUGCUGCGGUGUGUUUUAGCGUGCGACGCAAUGGUAACUCAUAUUAAGUGAAAUGGCGUCUGUGUUGAGGACUUAAGGCAACAUUUUUCUUUUAUUACAUCCCAUUGACCGAUCCUAACGCUAAUGCACAUGUGAAUUGGAUUUUUCAUGUAAGGAGACGGCCAGCGACGAUGACUUGGGGGAUCUGCCAAGCUGUCCUUUCAUCUGCGCGAGAGGAUGGACUUUUCUCACUGCUAAUUCAUACACAAUCUGCGUGGACACCCAUCCAGUACUUCAUGCAUCGAAGCCAGACGAGGCCUUCAAGCUGCUGUUCUUUGCCCAUUUUGCUUUUAACAUCCAGUACCAGAAGGAGACUAGCCUGUGCUUGGAAUUCACACAGAGGGCUAUUGCAGGUAUUAAUCCUGCAAGAGGAACAAAGGUGCAAAAGAAUGGCGGGAAGCAGCACUGCCUGUCACCAAGAGUGGCUGCACUCGU